AAUAAGAUGCCUGAUUAAAGGGUUAUCUUGAUAGGAUAAAUCAAGUAGGUUAAUCCUACCCUUAUUA
rnacentral:tRNA from 1 species